UACGUAGGGUGCAAGCGUUGUCCGGAAUUAUUGGGCGUAAAGAGCUCGUAGGUGGUUUGUUGCGUCGGCUGUGAAAUCCCGAGGCUCAACCUCGGGUCUGCAGUCGAUACGAGCAAACUAGAGUGUUGCAGGGGAGACUGGAAUUCCUGGUGUAGCGGUGAAAUGCGCAGAUAUCAGGAGGAACACCCGUGGCGAAGGCGGUUCUCUGGGACGGUACUGACGCUGAGACGCGAAAGCGUGGGGAGCGAACAGG
rnacentral:rRNA from 1 species